ensembl:lncRNA
CCCCUCCCCGCGGCAGCGCCCGGGCCUCGGCAGCUGCGGGCUCGGGGCUCCCGCCGGCCCGUGCCCCACCCCCUCCCGGGGUGUCCUGCUGUGGGCGCCGCCGCCCCCGCCCGGCUGGACUGAGGACUGCCCGCGGCCCAGAGCUUUGCCCCCGCCUGUGGGGUCGGUGACCCGGAGUUGGAGGGAGAGGGAGCGAGGGCUCGGGCGCGAAGGUUUGGCUGGAAUCGAGGGUGAACAGAGUCGACGGAUUCUGAUGCUGGAAUUCGUUUCUGCAGCUUGCAACCAAGAGUGUUCACUAAUAUACAAUGUGUCUUUACAUGAGCAUCCUGGGGCUGCCACUAGUAUAUGAACCAUCAAUAGUUUUACAAGUGUAAAGGAUCAGGAACCAGAAGUAACACAGUCUUUCAGGCACCAGAUGAGUAGGCGAUGCCAGGAGAAAAAAGGUGGGAAGAGACUUUGAGAAGACUUAGAGGAAGGAGAAAGUCCACAGCAUUUGUUAAGGGAACCUGGCCCUAUGUUUUCCUGGGAAUUUCUACUGGAGUACUACUUCUGGCUUCUUGUACCAUUGUUUGUCUUACUCAAGAGUUAGUUGACCAGUGAACUUAGUUAUAUUCAUUAGCUCAAAGUUCUUGACUGAGUCGAGCUAAUCUAGCAAAAAAUCCCUAAUUACUGUGAUUCAUUCUCUUUUUUCCGUUUCUGACCUAGACUUGGGUAGACAUACUUGGGUAAACGUGUUUGCUCUGUAGGCCAGUGUUCCCCUUUUGGUGGCCUAUUCUCAGGGUAGAUUCUUUAGGGGUUGAGAGUGAGCAGAAUGUUGCCAACCCCUUUGGGUUAUAUAGAUCAAGAACCCUUUAUUAGCCUAUCUGUAAUAAAGUUGAC